rnacentral:rRNA from 1 species
AUGUCUUCUUCGGGAUAUGUGGCUGUUCCUCGCUGCUCCGUGAUCUUUGAUGGCACCAACUAUGCUGAGUUUGUUGGCUUCAUGCGUAUCCAUAUGCGCGGCCUUCUGCUGUGGGGCGUGCUCUCUGGCGAGGUACCCUGUCCGCCCUGCCCUGUUGCUCCGGUGGCUCCUGUUCCGCCGGUUCCGCCGGUGCUUGCUGCUGAUGCUUCUCAGGCUGAUCGGGAUGCAGCCAAGGCUCUUGAUGAUGCUGCAGUUGAUGCGUAUGAUCAGCAGGUAUCCGCAUACUCUGAUGCUCUUUCUGUCUACCGGGAUGAUCUGUCUGCUUACACGUGGUGUAAUGAUGAUGCUCGUGCUGCUGCUGUUCUCACUGCGAGUGUCCUCCCUCAGUUUGCUUCGGAGUUCAUGGGCCUCGGCACUGUUGCAGCGAUGUGGUCCUACCUUUGUCAGCGCUAUCAGCCCUCUGGUGAUGCUCUAUACCUUUCUGUGGUGCGUCAGGAGCAUGCUCUCCAGCAGGGUGACUCGUCUGUUGAUGAGUUCUAUUCACAGUGCUCUGCCAUCUGGCGUCAGCUUGACUCACUACGGACAGUUGUUUGUGGCACUUGCCGUUGCUGUCAGACUACGCGGUCUGACUUGGAGUUUCAGAGGGUUCAUGAGUUCUUAUCUCGUCUCCGCUUCUUGAGCCCCGACGUGCUCACUUGCUAG